rnacentral:misc_RNA from 1 species
GAUUGGAUCUUGGGAUCUGCGGGCUUUCACAAGUCGGCUGUCCUGAAAUGCAUUAGUAGAGCUUUUGCCGCUAACCUCUGGUGUGAUAAUUAUCUACGCUACUGGGAGGCGACAUACUGAGGCUCAGCUUCUAACCGUCCUGUUAGGACAAUAUUUGACAAUUUGACCUCAAAUCAGGUAGGACUACCCGCUGAACUUAA